UAUCUAACAAAAUCCUCUCUCUCACUCCUUCAUCCUCACCAAUUCGACUCUCUCUCUCCCCCUUCAUCUCUCAUCUUCCUCCAUUAACAUCCAUGGUAGAACCUUCCGAAGCUUCCAAAAAUUAUACAAAACACAUCAAUCCACUCCAAAACCUUGCCUAAACACCUUCAAUCUCCUUGGAUUCAAGAAGAUCAUUGAAGAUUGCUUCCAAGGCUAGAGAGAGAAAGUGUGAUUGUUGGUGUAAAGUUUGGACACGAGCAGAGCAAGGAAGUAAGUAACUCCGCUUUGACGGGAGAAUUUGAGUAAGGUCUUCAGGCUAAGCGGGGAGCGAGAUUGGUCUGGUGCUGGUGGGGAACCGUUUCAAUCGAUGUGAUCAUAUUUAAUAUUGCCCUUAUGAUUAAUAGAGUCUUGAUGAUUAAAAUACUUCGUUUCUUUUCGAAUCAAGUAAUAUACUCACGGUUAUGUGUCUUCAUACAUAUAAUCGGUUCGCCUUUUGCUGCAAUACUCUGCAUAUUAUGCUUCCUUACGAAAAAUGAGCGAUACCCGUUUUGUUUUUGUUCGUGAAAUUUCUGAUAAAUAAAAAGUUAUAACGACGUUGACGAUUUUACCCUUGGGUUCC